UACGUAGGCAGCAAGCGUUUGUUCGGAGUUACUGGGCGUAAAGGGUGCGUAGGCGGCUAUUUAAGUUUGGUGUGAAAUCUCCCGGCUCAACUGGGAGGGUGCGCCGAAUACUGAGUGGCUAGAGUGCGGGAGAGGAAAGUGGAAUUCCUGGUGUAGCGGUGAAAUGCGUAGAUAUCAGGAGGAACACCGGUGGUGUAAACGGCUUUCUGGACCGUAACUGACGCUGAGGCACGAAAGCGUGGGGAGCAAACAGG
rnacentral:rRNA from 1 species